rnacentral:misc_RNA from 1 species
CCGAGUUUACAACUCCCAAACCCCUGUGAACAUACCACUUGUUGCCUCGGCGGAUCAGCCCGCUCCCGGUAAAACGGGACGGCCCGCCAGAGGACCCCUAUACUCUGUUUCUAUAUGUAACUUCUGAGUAAAACCAUAAAUAAAUCA